AGCGAACGCUGGCGGCAGGCCUAACACAUGCAAGUCGAACGAACCUUUCGGGGUUAGUGGCGGACGGGUGAGUAACACGUGGAAACGUGCCUUUAGGUUCGGAAUAACUCAGGGAAACUUGUGCUAAUACCGAAUGUGCCCUUCGGGGGAAAGAUUUAUCGCCUUUAGAGCGGCCCGCGUCUGAUUAGCUAGUUGGUUGAGGUAAUGGCUCACCAAGGCGACGAUCAGUAGCUGGUCUGAGAGGAUGAUCAGCCACAUUGGGACUGAGACACGGCCCAAACUCCUACGGGAGGCAGCAGUGGGGAAUCUUGCGCAAUGGGCGAAAGCCUGACGCAGCCAUGCCGCGUGAAUGAUGAAGGUCUUAGGAUUGUAAAAUUCUUUCACCGGGGACGAUAAUGACGGUACCCGGAGAAGAAGCCCCGGCUAACUUCGUG
rnacentral:rRNA from 1 species